ensembl:lincRNA 3110039M20Rik RIKEN cDNA 3110039M20 gene
GAAAUCAUGGUGGAUGCCUAGGUAAAGAGGAUUUAGAUACUUCAAAGAAGGAAGAAAAGAAGAUAAAUUUAUAUGGAGAAGGCAAUGGGAUACUCUAAGGUUUACUCCUCCUUGGGACAAGGAAGGCUGGCAUGACCAUCCACUUCACAUUCGCCAGUGUGCUGACACCAAGCAGAAAAUUCCAUGUAGAGAGCAGACUCCAUGUAGUCACACGUCCCUGGAGAAAAUUGCUUCAUCAUUCUUCAGAAAGAAAAAAAAAAAGUUGAUUUCCUUCAGAAUCCUCUCAUCUUAGAAUGACUAGGUAGAAUUUUAUGCUUAUUUAGAUCUCUUCCAUGCCUAAAUUCUUGGGCAUCUUCCCAUUUUCUAGUUCCAUAAAUAAAAGUAAAA